rnacentral:rRNA from 1 species
UACGAGGGGGGCAAAUGUUGUUCGGAAUCACUGGGCGUAAAGGGAGCGUAGGCGGGUUCUUAAGUAAGGUGUUUAAUCCCGGGGCCCAACCCCGGACCGGCACUUUAAACUGGGAAUCUUGAAUAGUGGAGAGGUCAGUGGAAUUGGGGGUGUAGCGGUGGAAUGCGUAGAGAUCCCCAAGAACACCAGUUGCGAAGGCGAGUCCCUGGACAACUCCUGACACUGAGGCACGAAAGCUAGGGGAGCAAACAGG